CAAACUCACAGAUGGCAAAGAAGACUUUUUUUAUCCGGAAAUGGGAAGGGAGCAUAAUUCCAAAGCUCAAGGAAAUAGCAUCCUUGGAGAAGAAAAAUGACAUACAACACUUGCUGGAGAAAGCCGACAAUCAGCAAGAUGAUGAGCUGUGCUACACUAUGUUGAAGAUCCUCAUUCAUCUUCUUCCACCCACGGCAUCUGGGAGAAGUGUUGCUGGCAGUAAAUGCUGUGUGAACUCUGCAGUCUCAUACCUGUUAGAGCAAGUGCCGGCUGGUACCAAUGUGACCUCCUUGCUCAGUGAAUCCAUGAAAGGGUCCCUGAAGUCAGCUCAGCCGCAGUUGGUUUCCAUCGGUUCUCUAGAACGUGAAGCACAGUACGUAAUUGUGGCAAAGAAUGAUUCUUUUGCCCUUCCACUUGAUGUUGAAAGCCUGACCUGUGCUGUAGACAGACUUUUCAAAUUCUUCUGGCUGUGCAAUCUUCAGUAUCCAUGCCAACUGACAAAUUGCUUGACAAACUUAAGACAGACUCUCACUUAUACCAGUUCAGUUCAUGUGGCUAAUACUAUCAGUUUUUUUGUGGACAACAUACAGGACAGGAUACGUUCUGACUUUAAAAGCAGAUGAAAGGGGAGAACCAUUAUUUGGUGAAGUUAUACACAUUAUUCCCCAAAGCGAAAGAGAAUGUGCACUUAUGUUCCUGAGAGUUUUAAGAGUUAAAUAUUUUGAUGAACACCUUUUUUCCUUCAAUGUCAUCAGAACCAAAGAUUUUGACAUGGCAAAGAUGCCUGGUGACUUAAUAGAUUACAGACCUUUAAAUAUUGUAUAAUUUUGUGAUCAGCAGUAUGUAACUCCUAAAUACAAAAUUUUGUUUAAACAUGUUGGUGGUUGAAACUGUUGAACACAUUGUGUUUUGACCAGAUUUGACAAUGAAUUGUUUUGUUAACAUGAUCACCUAUAGGUGAAUGCAUAAACAGUAAUUGUGUAAUGGUUAUUUCUUUGAAUACAGUUUUUAGGUUAAUUAAAUGUAUUUUUUUCUGUAUGAAAAUGAAAUGUUGGUACACUUGAGAAUAAGUUCAGAAAAUGUGGUACUUUAUAUGUUGGAAACUGUUUCAUACAUAUUUGACGUUUUAUUUGACUGCUUAACAGAUAUGAGUUUUAUAAUAUUUGAUGAAUGUUUUUUAUAAUGUAUGAUGUGUUGAAAUGCUUAUUUCACAAGUUUAUAGUCAGUAACAUUUGAGUGCAUUAAUUCCAUGUUAAAAAGGAAAACAAAUAAACAGUAUGUGAGCAGUGUCUAAUUGUUUCCUGUGAGAUUUCAUAAUUAAUGUACACAAAUUGUUAAUUGAUCUAACAUUUGUAAUAAAUUUUAUAUUAACAUAUAUUAAACAAUUUCUAAGUAACACACAGUUGUGUUAAAUACAUACAAAAAAACACAUCAAUGUGUUUACUUAAGCUGCACAUUUAUGUGUUACAUUUUAUAACACGUUUUGUGUGUUGAAUUUAACUCAACAUGUGUUGUCCCUGAGCACACUCAGAACAUGUGUUAAAAAUAACACAUGUUGUGUUGUUUUCAACACAUUUGUUUUAAGAGUGUAAUUAUAAAAAAAAAAAAAAAUAAAUAAAAAAAAAAAAAAACGCAAACAA